rnacentral:rRNA from 1 species
UGGGGAAUAUUACACAAUGGAGGAAACUCUGAUGUAGCAACGCCGCGUGGAGGAUGACACAUUUCGGUGCGUAAACUCCUUUUAUAUGGGAAGAUAAUGACGGUACCAUAUGAAUAAGCACCGGCUAACUCCGUGCCAGCAGCCGCGGUAAUACGGAGGGUGCAAGCGUUACUCGGAAUCACUGGGCGUAAAGCGCGCGCAGGCGGUCUUUUAAGUUGGAUGUGAAAUCCUAUGGCUCAACCAUAGAACUGCAUCCAAAACUGAAAGACUAGAGUCUGGGAGGGGAAGAUGGAAUUAGUGGUGUAGGGGUAAAAUCCGUAGAGAUCACUAGGAAUACCAAAAGCGAAGGCGAUCUUCUGGAACAGUACUGACGCUGAGGCGCGAAAGCGUGGGGAGCAAACAG